UACGGGGGGGGCAAGCGUUGUUCGGAAUUACUGGGCGUAAAGGGCUCGUAGGCGGCCAACUAAGUCAGACGUGAAAUCCCUCGGCUUAACCGGGGAACUGCGUCUGAUACUGGAUGGCUCGAGUUUGGGAGAGGGAUGCGGAAUUCCAGGUGUAGCGGUGAAAUGCGUAGAUAUCGUUUGGAACGCCAAUGGUGAAAACAGCUAGCUGGGGAUGUGCUGACACUGAGACACGAAAGCCAGGGGAGCAAACGGG
rnacentral:rRNA from 1 species